rfam:Onchocerca ochengi, WGS project CAWC01000000 data, contig: 02449_3768
AAGCCCGUAAAUGCACCUAUGUUGCUAAUUAUGUGUUUGAGAAAUUAGCAGCACGGCGCAUUUGCGCGCAA